AAAUCGACACACUGAUAAGAAGUGAUACAGCUAUUCAGAAGUUUUGUGGUACUGCCAAAGCAAUAAGCAUAUACUGAUAAGGUGGGCGCAUAUAAGUUUGAAGUUUAGCGCAAGAUGAGGCGACGCACACAAGACUGUAGAUCAUGUGGUUUAAUUAGAAGCAACGCGAAGACCCUUUCCAAAUCUUGACAUCCUCUGACCCCUCUAGUGAUAGAGUUUUCCCCUUCGGGGGACAGAGUGACAGGUGGUGCAUGGUUGUCGUCAGCUCGUGUCGUGAGAUGUUGGGUUAAGUCCCGCAACGAGCGCAACCCUUAAGCUUAGUUGCCAUCAUUAAGUUGGGCACUCUAAGUUGACUGCCGGUGACAAACCGGAGGAAGGUGGGGAUGACGUCAAAUCAUCAUGCCCCUUAUGAUUUGGGCUACACACGUGCUACAAUGGACAAUACAAAGGGUAGCGAAACCGCGAGGUCAAGCAAAUCCCAUAAAGUUGUUCUCAGUUCGGAUUGUAGUCUGCAACUCGACUAUAUGAAGCUGGAAUCGCUAGUAAUCGUAGAUCAGCAUGCUACGGUGAAUACGUUCCCGGGUCUUGUACACACCGCCCGUCACACCACGAGAGUUUGUAACACCCGAAGCCGGUGGAGUAACCAUUGGAGCUAGCCG
rnacentral:rRNA from 1 species